GACGAACGCUGGCGGCGUGCUUAACACAUGCAAGUCGAACGGAAAGGCCCUGCUUUUGUGGGGUGCUCGAGUGGCGAACGGGUGAGUAACACGUGAGUAACCUGCCCUUGACUUUGGGAUAACUUCAGGAAACUGGGGCUAAUACCGGAUAGGAGCUCCUGCUGCAUGGUGGGGGUUGGAAAGUUUCGGCGGUUGGGGAUGGACUCGCGGCUUAUCAGCUUGUUGGUGGGGUAGUGGCUUACCAAGGCUUUGACGGGUAGCCGGCCUGAGAGGGUGACCGGCCACAUUGGGACUGAGAUACGGCCCAGACUCCUACGGGAGGCAGCAGUGGGGAAUAUUGCACAAUGGGCGGAAGCCUGAUGCAGCAACGCCGCGUGCGGGAUGACGGCCUUCGGGUUGUAAACCGCUUUCGCCUGUGACGAAGCGUGAGUGACGGUAAUGGGGAAAGAAGCACCGGAUAACUACGU
rnacentral:rRNA from 1 species